rnacentral:rRNA from 1 species
UACGUAGGUGGCAAGCGUUGUCCGGAUUUACUGGGCGUAAAGAGCGCGCAGGCGGUCGUUCAAGUCGCGUGUGAAAGCCCCCGGCUCAACUGGGGAGGGUCACGCGAUACUGAUCGACUCGAAGGCAGGAGAGGGUAGUGGAAUUCCCGGUGUAGUGGUGAAAUGCGUAGAUAUCGGGAGGAACACCGGUGGUGUAGACGGCUUUCUGGACCGUAACUGACGCUGAGACACGAAAGCGUGGGUAGCAAACAGG